AUGUCGCUCUUUCAUUUCUUUGGUGCUACCUUCUUUUUUUCAAGGGAUGGGGUUGGGGUGUAUAAUAACCCUUUUUUUGAGUACGCCUGGAAACAACUCCUAGCUCAAUUUAGGAUCAAAUGUAGGAACCUCAUGGGUAAGGAUAAGGUAAUGGAAUUGAUAGAGAAAUUCAUAGACCUAGGUAGGAUAGGAAAAUUGAUAAAGGGAAUAGAGAUGAUGAUAGAGAUCAUAUUGAGAAAGAGGAUAAUUCCGUACGGGUACAACUCUUAUUUGAACGAAGUGCAAAAAAUGCGAUCUUUUUUGUCUAAGAACAGACACUAA
rnacentral:rRNA from 1 species